CAUUUUGACAGCACAUAUAUUAUACUAUAAUUGGAAUGAUACAGAGAAGAGUAGCAUGGCUCCUGAGCAAAGAUGACAUGAAAAUUUGUGAAGUGCUCCAUAUUUUU
ensembl:snRNA U6 U6 spliceosomal RNA